UACGAGGGGGGCAAGCGUUGUUCGGAUUUAUUGGGCGUAAAGGGUGCGUAGGCGGUUUGGCAAGUUUGAUGUGAAAUCUAUGGGCUCAACCCAUAGUCUGCAUCAGAAACUGCCGGGCUUGAGUAUGGGAGAGGUGAGUGGAAUUUCCGGUGUAGCGGUGAAAUGCGUAGAUAUUCGGAAGAACACCAGUGGCGAAGGCGAGUCCCUGGACACUUCCUGACACUGAGGCACGAAAGCUAGGGGAGCAAACAGG
rnacentral:rRNA from 1 species